rnacentral:lncRNA from 12 species
CAUUGUGAAUGCCGAUCUCCAGAGGGGCAUGGGGCAGAAUCCAGUAAUCAAACACAUCAGUAUUUUUGCAGCAAAAUGUGAGAGUGUUUAAGUGAGAGAAAUAAAGACUGCAUAUAGUUUCAUGUUGGUUCAGGUCAGACUUUGCUAACCUGCCAAUCUGCAAUUUUAAUAAGAAGUAUUUUGGUUUUUAGGCUCUGAAAAUUCAGAUUGUGGACCUGUGAUGCCUAUUUCAGAUGAUUUGGAGGACUCUACAAGAUGGCCCACAGCAAGUGGCUGGCAUAGCUCUACUACUUCGGAUGACAAGAGAAGACCAACCACAUCCAUUUAGUUCCACAGAUGGACAAAAACCUCAGAGGACUGGCUCUCCUCUAUAAGCAAGGAACAAACAUGCAGGAAUAUUGUAAAGACAGACGUCAAGACUUGGCCAUUGCUUCCAAUUAAGAAGCUAUUUCCAAACUCACCAACCAAACUCUUACGUGGUGGGAAUUCAGCAAAUGGAUGGAAAGAUGGAGAAAAUGGGGUGGCAAGAGUUGUGAAUCCUUAUGUUGAGUCAGAGCAGAUAAAGAGCACGUCCAUGGAAAAGGUACUUGAGCUCAGCAAGAGGCACCCAGACUGUUCCAGCUGAUCCUUCUGUGCUCCUCAUUCUGAUAUUCCAAGGACAGUGUAGCUAGGUGUUCAGUGUUAAUUGUGAGACUUGAGCCUUAAUUUCCACAUCUGUGAAAUGGCAUUAAACAUAGUUUCUAAGCAACAAAAGCAAAAAUAAACAACUGGAACUACAUCA